AACGCGAAGAACCUUACCAGGGUUUGACAUCCUGUGCUCAGUCCUUAAUAGGACCUUUCCCGCAAGGGACGCAGAGACAGGUGCUGCAUGGCUGUCGUCAGCUCGUGUCGUGAGAUGUUGGGUUAAGUCCCGCAACGAGCGCAACCCUCGCCUUUAGUUGCCAUCAUUAAGUUGGGCACUCUAAAGGGACCGCCGGCGACAAGCCGGAGGAAGGUGGGGAUGACGUCAAGUCCUCAUGGCCCUUACACCCUGGGCUACACACGUGCUACAAUGGCGGUGACAGUGGGCAGCUACUUCGCAAGAAGCGGCUAAUCCCAAAAAACCGUCCCAGUUCAGAUUGCACUCUGCAACUCGAGUGCAUGAAGGUGGAAUCGCUAGUAAUCGCGGAUCAGCAUUGCCGCGGUGAAUACGUUCCCGGGCCUUGUACACACCGCGCAUA
rnacentral:rRNA from 1 species